AUUGAACGCUGGCGGCAUGCCUUACACAUGCAAGUCGAACGGUAACAGGUUAAGCUGACGAGUGGCGAACGGGUGAGUAAUACAUCGGAACGUGCCCAGUAGUGGGGGAUAGCCCGGCGAAAGCCGGAUUAAUACCGCAUACGACCUACGGGUGAAAGGGGGGGAUCGCAAGACCUCUCGCUAUUGGAGCGGCCGAUGUCAGAUUAGGUAGUUGGUGGGGUAAUAGCCUACCAAGCCGACGAUCUGUAGCUGGUCUGAGAGGACGACCAGCCACACUGGGACUGAGACACGGCCCAGACUCCUACGGGAGGCAGCAGUGGGGAAUUUUGGACAAUGGGCGCAAGCCUGAUCCCGCCAUGCCGCGUGCGGGAAGAAGGCCUUCGGGUUGUAAACCGCUUUUGUCAGGGAAGAAACGCUCUGGGUUAAUACCCUGUGGUAAUGACGGUACCUGAAGAAUAAGCACCGGCUAACUACGUGCCAGCCGCCGCCGUAA
rnacentral:rRNA from 1 species